rnacentral:rRNA from 1 species
AGAGUUUGAUCAUGGCUCAGGAUGAACGCUAGCUACAGGCUUAACACAUGCAAGUCGAGGGGCAGCAUGAACUUAGCUUGCUAAGUUUGAUGGCGACCGGCGCACGGGUGAGUAACACGUAUCCAACCUGCCGAUGACUCGGGGAUAGCCUUUCGAAAGAAAGAUUAAUACCCGAUGGCAUAAUUCUUCCGCAUGGUAGAACUAUUAAAGAAUUUCGGUCAUCGAUGGGGAUGCGUUCCAUUAGGUUGUUGGCGGGGUAACGGCCCACCAAGCCUUCGAUGGAUAGGGGUUCUGAGAGGAAGGUCCCCCACAUUGGAACUGAGACACGGUCCAAACUCCUACGGGAGGCAGCAGUGAGGAAUAUUGGUCAAUGGACGAGAGUCUGAACCAGCCAAGUAGCGUGAAGGAUGACUGCCCUAUGGGUUGUAAACUUCUUUUAUACGGGAAUAAAGUGAGGCACGUGUGCCUUUUUGUAUGUACCGUAUGAAUAAGGAUCGGCUAACUCCGUGCCAGCAGCCGCGGUAAUUC